rnacentral:RNase_P_RNA from 1 species
GAAGUAGAUCGGACGGUCGCUUCUUGACAUUUGUCGGGAGGAGGAAAGUCCGGACUCCUCAGGGCAGGAUGUCCCCGAUAGUAUCGGGGGUGGGAGCAAUCCCAGGAAAGUGCCACAGAAAAGAAAACUCCCGGCGUAAGCCGAGAAAAGCUGAAACGGUGAGGUAAGAGCUCACCAGCUUUAUCGCAAGGUAGAGGCUUGGUAAACCCCAUCCGGAGCAAGAUCAAGCAGGGAUGGUCGCCCGCCACCGGCUUUAGCCGGAAAUCCCAGGUAGAUCGCUUAGAUAGAUGACCGUCAUAACAGAAUCCGGCUUACUGAUUUACUUCGAAU